UCUGGCACUCCCUAGUGAGAUGGACCCGGUACCUCAGAUGGAAAUGCAGAAAUCACCCGUCUUCUGCGUCGCUCCGAAAGGACGGCAUUUCCAGGCACAAGAAGCACCUGUUGGUGGCAUUUCUCCCUGUAAUGAAGGCCAUCUGGAUAGGAGACAAAAGUAGGGCGUGAGGACUCUGAAGCUGCAACCCAAACCAAAGAAAAGCAGAAGCAAAAACAAACCCCCAAGACCCAACAACAACAACAACAAGCACUGAUACGCGAUAGUCGCCAAUUUUCAGCACUUUAGAGACGAUUAAGCACCCAUGUGCACUGGGUUUAACUGGCUUUCAUGCAGAUUUCAGUCUGUGGCUCUUUUUAUUUAUGCAUAUAUGUGACCUUUCUACAAUGUGUAAUUGAUUAGGAAGAAGGAGGUUUUGCUCUGGUCUUUCUUUGAAUUCAAGCCUGCACAGGUCUACUCAUGUAAAAUUAUACAAGUGAGUUCACUAGUUCAGCACAUAUGUACUGUGCUCAGCUAAAUGCCAGGCAAAGCUCAGGCACAUCUGCUCAGCUCAUGCUCUUAUCAUGGCUUAUUAAACAAUUGUGCAAUAAGGAGUGAACUCUACACAUUGUAUCUUGACCAUAUUGUACUAAAGAUAGUGUCAGAUUUUAAUUGCCUAAAUUAAAUAUACUCAUAAGUGUAAUUGUUAAAAUUGAGGUGAAAUAAUUGCUAUUCAAACCAGAAUCUGAUGGCUAAUUAAAAACAGGAAGUUUCAAAAGAAAAUAAAAUUUCAUGGUAGAUAUCAUAAAAAUGAUCAGGAUCAGAUGACACAAGCCAAGUUAUAUGGUGCUCUCUACGCAAAGUCCUCAUUCUGUUUGUGAAAUUAAAAUUUGCAAAAUUCUUUUUUUCUCUGAAUCCUGACAAGUUCUGAGGUUCUGAAAUAAAAUCUUGACCUUGAAUAUACAUCUCUCAGCAUCUGUUAGUACAAGUUGAACCACUCAAUGUUCUCGAAAACGUAUACUUAAAAAUGUAAAUGUAAAUGUCAAUAGUGCCAUUUGAAGCUAUCAUGUUGUAAGUAAGGAAACAGCACAAGAUAUCAAGAAAAUACUCAUUCAACCCCAUGUUAUUGAUUUUGCAACAGUCAUGGUAGAUGAGCAAGCAAUGAACAUGCACUUAUUGCCAUUAUUUUAAAAUUCUAUGUGAAAAGAACAUUAAGAAGCUGCUCAUGAAGAAUUGUGUAUUUUAAAAAGUGAAGCUUUUGCAAUUGAACAGUUGCAAGUUGUAAAUACUGUGCAUUACACCAAUUUGUUGGUUUUUAUAAGAAUGGGCCAUAUAAGUAAGUAUAUAGAAUAUAUACUACCGGGUCAAACCAUUUAAGCACAUACAAAAGGAAAAAUGCUUAAACUUUAUGCUAAUUUUUUAAAAAUGCCAUCAAAUAAGUUGUCAAGAAUGUAUGGGUGUUGAAAUUAGGAUUGAGAAAGUAAUGACUGGAAAAACUAUAAGAGCUGCGAUUCAUGUAAGAGCGUUUGCCAAAAUGAGUUUAAAUAAUUGUGGUAUGUUCUGUAGACAACUACUCCCUAUUAAGAAGAUUAAUGAGCAUCUUUCAAAACAGUGUUUGGGUUUGUGACAGGAAUUGCCAAUUCUUUAAGUUAUACUUUUUAGAAUGCAGAAUUUUUAGCAUUAUUUGUGGCUAUAUAGAUGAUGAAUUCCAAUAUUCACUUUUCAAUUGAGGACAGUUGGUUCUGCCAAGGCGAAUUCGUGACACAAAUCUUUCAAAUGCAAUAAGAUUUGAAGAUGAAGGCUGAAAAUGAAGAUAAGAUUAAAGACGAAGAAAUCUUUUCUUGUUUCCUCCUGGUAGUACCACCAUUAACAAAACCUCUCUUAAAACAUGGUUGUACUUGCUUUCAUCUCUUGCUGACAUUUUUAAUAACCUGAAGGGACUCAAUAUGACAAUGUGUUAGCCUGCCAUGUUAAUCUCAUUUACAGCUGCACAUAAAGUUUUAGCAAAAAAACCAAAACAAACUUUGGAUUCAAUAUGCGAAAUAAAAUAAAUAUGAUUCUUAUGAAACUCUGAGUG
rnacentral:lncRNA from 1 species